rnacentral:rRNA from 1 species
GAUGAACGCUGGCGGCGUGCCUAAUACAUGCAAGUCGAGCGAACAGAUGAGAAGCUUGCUUCUCUGAUGUUAGCGGCGGACGGGUGAGUAACACGUGGGUAACCUACCUAUAAGACUGGGAUAACUCCGGGAAACCGGGGCUAAUACCGGAUAAUAUUUUGAACCGCAUGGUUCAAUAGUGAAAGACGGUUUCGGCUGUCACUUAUAGAUGGACCCGCGCCGUAUUAGCUAGUUGGUAAGGUAACGGCUUACCAAGGCGACGAUACGUAGCCGACCUGAAGGGGUGAUCGGCCACACUGGAACUGAGACACGGUCCAGACUCCUACGGGAGGCAGCAGUAGGGAAUCUUCCGCAAUGGGCGAAAGCCUGACGGAGCAACGCCGCGUGAGUGAUGAAGGUCUUCGGAUCGUAAAACUCUGUUGUUAGGGAAGAACAAAUUUGUUAGUAACUGAACAAGUCUUGACGGUACCUAACCAGAAAGCCACGGCUAACUACGUGCCAGCCGCCGCGGUAA